GCAAACUUGGUCAUUUAGAGGAAGUAAAAGUCGUAACAAGGUUUCCGUAGGUGAACCUGCGGAAGGAUCAUUAUCGAGUCUCAAUCCGGCCUUCUUCUGGCUGUGCAUUCACUUGCACGCUCGAGGGGUGUCGGCUCUUCUGACUUUACACACCUGUGCACCUCGGAUCGCCUAGUGCGAACCGCUCUUUUUUACACCUUUGUUGUAUGUCUUUAGAGUGUUUAUCGGUCGCUCUGUGAUGGAGUGGUCGUGAAAAUUUAAGUACAACUUUCAGCAACGGAUCUCUUGGCUCUCCCAUCGAUGAAGAACGCAGC
rnacentral:misc_RNA from 1 species